AUUGAACGCUGGCGGCAGGCCUAGCACAUGCAAGUCGAGCGGAUGAAGGGAGCUUGCUCCUGGAUUCAGCGGCGGACGGGUGAGUAAUGCCUAGGAAUCUGCCUGGUAGUGGGGGAUAACGUCCGGAAACGGGCGCUAAUACCGCAUACGUCCUGAGGGAGAAAGUGGGGGAUCUUCGGACCUCACGCUAUCAGAUGAGCCUAGGUCGGAUUAGCUAGUUGGUGGGGUAAAGGCCUACCAAGGCGACGAUCCGUAACUGGUCUGAGAGGAUGAUCAGUCACACUCGAACUGAGACACGGUCCAGACUCGUACGGGAGGCAGCAGGGGGGAAUAUUGGACAAUGGGCGAAAGCCUGAUCCAGCCAGGCCGAGUGUGUGAAGGAGGUCUUCGGAUUGUAAAGCACUUUAAGUUGGGAGGAGGGGCAGUAAGUUAAUACCUAGCUGUUUUGACGUUACCAACAGAAUAAGCACCGGCUAACUUCGU
rnacentral:rRNA from 1 species